UGGGUCGGCAAGACGGUCGCGGCAGUUUACUGACGAGGAACGUCCGGGCUCCAGAGAGCAAAAUGGUGGGUAACGCCCACCCGGGGUAACCCGAGAGAUAGUGCAACAGAAAGCAAACCGCCGAGCAAUCGGUAAGGGUGAAACGGUGGUGUAAGAGACCACCAGCGAUUCAAGUGAUUGAAUCGGCUAGGUAAACCUCAUUUGGAGCAAGAUCAAACAGUGAACGCUUGAGGGCUGCUCGCCCGAGUUC
rnacentral:RNase_P_RNA from 1 species